rnacentral:rRNA from 1 species
GGUUCAGGACGAACGCUGGCGGCGUGCCUAAUACAUGCAAGUCGAACGGUCUUUUCUAUGGAAGCUUGCUUCCACUGAGAAGAUAGUGGCGAACGGGUGAGUAACACGUGGGUAACCUGCCCAUAAGAGGGGGAUAACAUCCGGAAACGGGUGCUAAUACCGCAUAGUUUUCUUGAUUGCAUGAUCGGGAAAGGAAAGACGGCCUUUGUGCUGUCGCUUAUGGGUGGACCCGCGGCGUAUUAGUUAGUUGGUGAGGUAACGGCUCACCAAGACGAUGAUACGUAGCCGACCUGAGAGGGUGAUCGGCCACAUUGGGACUGAGACACGGCCCAAACUCCUACGGGAGGCAGCAGUAGGGAAUCUUCCGCAAUGGACGAAAGUCUGACGGAGCAACGCCGCGUGAGUGAAGAAAAGGUUUUCGGAUCGUAAAACUCUGUUGUCAGAGAAGAACAAGUUGGAGAGUAACUGCUCCAGCCUUGACGGUAUCUGACCAGAAAGCCACGGCUAACUACGUGCCAGCAGCCGC